ACCCAUGGUGGCGCAUUCCUGUAGUACCAGCUACUCAGGAGGCUGAAGUGGGAGGAUCGAUUGAGCCCAGGAGUUCUGGGCUAUAGUGCGCAAUCUCAAUAGGGUGUCCAUACUAAGUUCGGCAUUAAUAUAGUGACUUCCCAGGGGUGGGGGACCACCAGGUUGUCUAAGGAUGGGUGAACCUGCCCAGGUCGGAAACAAAGCAGGUCGAAACUCCCAUACUGAUUAGUAGUGGGAUCGCGCCUGUGAAUAGCCACUGCACUCUAUCCUGGGCAACAAAGUGAGAGACCCCCCCGCU
ensembl:misc_RNA Metazoa_SRP Metazoan signal recognition particle RNA